CUAUAACAUCGGAAUGUUCAUUGACAAUUUCAAAAUUGAUAAAAAUUGAAAAAAUCAUGAACUGAUCACAGUUGUCUGUUUGGAUUAUGUCAAUUCCUCCGUCUGCGACCCUUUAAUCAAACCAACUGCAAAGCCAAAUCAAAUAUUACAAUGUUAAAGAGCAUAGAGUAUAAAAGACCGACAAUUUGUGCCUAAUAUGGAUGAGGCAAUCCGUAGCGUAUAAAUAAAACAAGG
rnacentral:lncRNA from 1 species